GUUUGGGUGGUGCCUUCAAAGUUCCACGAGGCUGUCCUUGAGAGCACUCUGCGAGUCCUUGUGCGUGUCGCUGGCAGCGGUGGGGAUCGGUUGCUUGGCCACCGGGCACUCUUUCGGGAUGAGGUUGUGCCGCGGCAUUCCGUCGAACAGUUGGCCGGCGGCACGGAGGCGUGCAUGGUGCGGCAUAGGGCCUUGGGGUCAUUUUGUCGAGCAGCCGAGGGGUGCGCCGUUGCCGGCAUGGUCGUGCCUCCGGCAAAACUAGUACUGCUGCUACUCAAGUUUGCAAGCAGUUAUCUCCGAGUAUUUUUGUGUUGGCUUUACCCGUAAUGCGUUAGCUAGCAUAGCUGGGAAACAUGUCCCAACUUCAAACAGGAAUAAAGCUCCGGGCUGCAUAUCCCAAAAUUACAGCGAGUUUUGACAGAGCCGCGUAUCACGGCCUCCAAACUUCCUGUCACAAGAGACAGAAAGGCCACCUUCAGGCCUUGUCGGUGAUGUGCUCCCUGUCUUGUUACCUUCAGGCCGAAGAUUGCCGGGAGGAAAAGGCUUGCCCUUUUGAAGGCAUGGGAGUUAUAAGAUUGUACAUGGAUUGUCUUUUUUUUGAGAAUGAUUGUACAUGGAUUGUUUUUUUUUAGCGAGUACAUGGAUUGUUAAACAAAAAGGAACGAGGUAGCGAUUAAACCAAGCAGGCCAUGCACGCAUGU
rnacentral:lncRNA from 1 species